CCAUGUCCACUUUCCAAUUUCGUCCUUUCAACUCUCUCUCCACUUACCUGUAGGCACAGACGAGGACAAAGACUCGGGAAAAUUAGGAGGAGCCCUAAGGCAAUAGCUCCCCACUCCAGUUUUCUUGUCUGAAGAACUCCACGCACAGGGGAGCCUGGUGGGCUGCAGCCCAGGGCGUCGCAGAGUCAGACAUGACCGAGUGACAAAACCUAGCAAACACGAUGGUGCUGGACGGGGGGGUCCUGCCAGGGGUUGACAUGCAAAGGUCAACGAGCCUGUCUGGACCUGUGCAAAGUGCCGUGGCGGCCCACCCGCUCCUCGUGGCUCUCGCACCUGCAGCACUGCCUGAGACCCGGGCGGGUAGCUGGCUGCUGCCCACUCUGUGCUGUCAGCAGGAACACGGUGGCGGGCGCCUGACACUGCGUCUAUUUAUACUGCUGGGCCGCAUCCAGGAUUCAGGAGCUGGCAGCACCCAGGAAGAAGCAAGUUGAAGGGAGAGAAGAGGCUGGAAUGAUAGGAUGGCAGAGUGUAUGGUUUCCAGCCACAUGGGACUCUAUUCCAUUCCCUUCUAAAGUGAACUCAGGCAAUCAAACAGUUCCUGGGCCCUGCAACCCGCCUCCCAGCACAGGCUGAACUGGCUGGCAGUGGGGCCUGGGGGGCAAAGUGACACCUGCGGCCUCCAUGCACAGCCUCCCUCAACAGCCUGAAGUGUCACUGGAGUCCCUGCUUCUCUCACUGCCCACCUUCUCCCCUUCCCCAGCCAAGGCAGUCAGACUCUCCAGACCAUUUCCCCAGCAACGACCAGCAACACAGCUGAGCUCAACCAGCACCUGGGCCACACUCGUGUCUCCCGGGUAACUUGCCGCUUCCCACUCUUCUGCCAUCAGUCAAGGGCAGAACCCACUGGACUCAAGGAAUUCCUUGCCGACCAUUGCCUGGCCCCUUUCUCACUGUCUCCUCCCUCUCUCGCUCCCUAGCCCCUCAGGUGAGACCUGGGCAGACAGACCAGAACGGAACCGCAUGUUUCUACUCAAACCUCCUCAGGCCACACAAAGCAGCUGCCUGACUCCCUCGUUCUGCUGAGACGGUCCCGGGGCGCCCAGACCACUGCCCAACCCCCGCCGCCCGGCCCCAAGUCCUCACCAGCUGCUGGAUGCUGAUGAAGUUCAUGGUCCCCCCUGCUCCUCAGGCCCCUGAGAAUGCUGCAAGCCGUGGGUGAAAGCAGCUGGGUCUGUCCCCGGCAGUGUCCUGCCUGUCAACACUCAUCACGGGAGCUGUGGUGGUGAAACACUCAAGCAACAUCGGUUCAGAUCACUGGGAAAUGAGCAAUCUGCCUCGCCAACCGGCAAGGGUCUGCACACAAAAGGGCCCCCAGCUGCUCUCUCGGCAUCUGAGCCUGGUGCUGGGGCUGCAGGAGGAAACGAGGCCAACUCCAGCUGCCCCAGUGAGAGGCAGAGAUCAUGAAGAGGGGCUCCAAGAGGGAAGAGAGGCAGGAGGAGCCAGGUGCAGGGUGCUCCGGGCAUCCGGGUAGGGGAGCUGCCGUUCGCGAGGAAGAGGAAGGCUCUCUGAGCGUGUGAUGUGGAAGCUGAGGUCCAGAAAGAGGAACAGACACAAGCCAGACAGCAAAGGGGGUGGAGAGGCCUGCGGACAGCAGGAGCCGCUGCCUGUGGUCUGCAAGGGAUACAGAAGUGGGUUCAAGAGACGGGAGACGGGGGCUUCCCUGGGGCUCACUGGUUAAGAAUCUGCUGCCAACACAGGUGACACGGGUUCAUCUGGGAAGAUCCCAGACGCCGAGGAGCAACAGCCCGUCGACCACAAUGACUGGACCUGUGGUCUGGAGCUGGGAGCUGCAAGCACUGAGGCCUACAUCUCUGUGGCCUGUCUUCCAGUACUAGAGAAGCCACUGCAAUGAGAAGCCUGCUCACCACAAUGAAGAGUAGCUCCUGCUUGCUGCAACUAGAGAAAAGCCCACACAGCCCAGCCAAAAAAAACCAAAAUAAAAUUACUUGAAGAAGAAAGAAAGAAACUGAAGACAACUAGCAGGACCUGAGUGUAACAGGCAAGGGGCCAGGAGGGAGCUCAGGACAAGCUGACAGGUAGGCAGGGGCCAACCCCAGGAGGCCUGUUAACCAGUGUAAGGACUUCAUAGAAGCAAGCCUUCAGAGGACUCUAAGGCAUGGUGUGGUCCGAACUGCGCUUUAAACCAUCGCUCUGGGAGAAGAUCAAGUGGGCUAAGAGAGGACCAGAUUAUACACACAGGUUUUACGGAUGCAUCAACUGCCUUUCAAAGAUAAACAAGAAAUCGGCAAAAGGGGAUGCCCUAACACAUGACUGACCAGAGACAUAUCAAUACAUUUUCAGACAGUGAUACAAUUAACAUCACUGUGCCCUGUUGGAGUUUAGAACUGAUCAGGGUUCAUUAUAUAACAUAAUCGUCAUCAUCAUUCACAUUGUGCUCCGUUAGGUUCCUAUCCCAAUGCUGUAUAUAUCAUAAACAUAAAAUUUUCAAAAAUGAUGCAUCGAGAAAUUUUGAGUGAAGAAUUUUUUGGUGAAUUUUAUGAAGAUACUUUCUCCAAUCCUCCAAGUGACACAUAUGCUAGUGUCUAAGAAGAUGCCAGUUCUCCAGAAUAAAGUUCUGGUUCAGAUGAUAUGAAUAUUAGACCAACAAAAAGAGAGAAUGCUCCUUUGCUUCUAUAGCAGAGUGGACUGAAGACAACAUUUCCCCAAAAUGAGAAGACUUAACAGGUGUGUCCAAUGUAACUACUGAAUGUAAUAACCCACAAUGCGUGUGCGCAGUCACAUCCGACUCUUUGUGACCCCUCCUCUGUCCAUGGGCUUUCCCAGCAAGAAUACUGGUGUGGGUUGUCAUUUUCUCCUCCAGGGGAAAUCUUCCUGACCCAGGAUCAAACCCACAUCUCCUGCCUUGGCAGACGAAUUCUUCAUCACUGUGCCACCUGGGAAGUGGCAAAUAACUUGCAAAGUGUUGGUGAAAUAACAGAACUAAUUUUGGGCCAAAAGAAAAAUCGCCAGCCGCAGGUGUUAAAUUUCUGUAGAAAUUCCCCAGUCAAUAAAGUGACCCAGAAGACUGAGCUACCGGGAAGGGGGGCAGGGAGCGAAAUUUGUGUCCAGAGCAGGUAUUCUGUACGUCUCAAGCUGUUCACUGUGGGUACAUGUUUCUAGGCAGAAAACUUCUAAUUAAAUGAUCACUCCGGUCAGUGUGGAAAGUGGACCAGAGGGACAGGCAAGGGGAGGUUCAAGUUUCAGAAAACUAUGUGAAGCAGCACUGAGGAUGCAUCACUAAGAAAGAAAAUGACACCUUAUGUUUCGUACUAAUUUACGUGCACAGGAAACUCGCUGGAAAAUUAUAUGUUAAUCCUCAAGUGAUGAUGGGUGAGCAGUGAGAUUACAAAUGAUCCCAAUUCUCUACUUUAUGCUUUUCUGUUAUCCCCAUGUUUUCUACCAUGAACAUGUUAUACCUUUUUUAUUUUUGGCCUGUGAGGUCUUAGUUCUCUGACCAGGGAUGGAACCUGGGCCCAAGCAGUGAGUGUGCCAUGUCCUAAACACUGGACAGCCAGAGAAUUCCCGUGUUCUAACUUUUAUAAUGAUAAGAGACAAGAAGUUCUUGCAGCCUGUGAAACUUCUGAGA